GUUGGUUUUGUCUCAUUGUUGGUAUUUUUUGUUGGUUGACAUGUUUGCUUGCAGUUCUUUACAAUUUGGUUUGUUUUUUUUUUUUUUUUUUCAUUUUUUAUUUUCAAUAUUCCCUUUUGGAUCCCUAGCUAUGGGUGGCUACGUAUUUUUCUUUAUUUGUUAUUUUUUUUUUACAGGUUCUUGGUAGUUGGCUAAGAGAGGGCUCCUUUUGAAUUUAGGUGUAGAGGGAUGCUCUAAACUUGCCUCCUGAGAAGGACUCUUGUAUGUGUAAUAUUAGCAACUCGAGACUAUACCUAUACGUUUACUGGCUACCCUCAAGCAAGAGCUCUAUUGCAUCGUCUCCUCCAGUUGUGGUUUGAUAUUGUUUUGGCUUUGUUUACCUUGGAUCUCUUCUUUUCAUUUCUAUGCAUAUAGUUAUUGUUUACCUAUUUUCAUGUCUAUUUGACUGGCUUUUGAUGGUGUUGUAUUCGACUUAAUUAGUAUUGUCAGUAAUCUGCUCUCAACCUUCUCAUCGAUAGUUUGUUGCUAGUAUAGAUUGAUUGUUCAGGUAAGUUAUGGAGGUAAUGUUUGGUUAGGUAGAUAUGUAGUUGGGUCGAUGUUGACUUGUUUAGGUUUGGC
rnacentral:lncRNA from 1 species